AACAAACAAAAAACACAUAUAAAAAAAUAUGUUUACAUAUCAAUUCUGUUAAAAAAUAAACAUAAAUCAAAAUCACAAUUCAAACCAAAUGGAGAGACUUUUUAGUGAUUGUAAACCUAUUUUUUAAAAUAACAAACAUGUUAUACUUACCUGUUCUGUGCAAUGGUUUUGCACAGAGCAUCCCCUGAUCCUCGUCUUCUGGUGUUCCCUGCCAGCACUUCAGGCUCCUCCUCCCUGCCAAGUGCCCCUACAGAAAGCCACUUGCUAUGAUGGCACUCAUGCAGGCUCAAUCCUGAGUCAUGCUCCGUGUGUCCAUUGAUACCCAGCCUGCCUCCUGCUCUUUCCUAACUGGCUGUGAUAAGGUCAAACAUUUGCAAGGCCAUGUUUGACCGCCAUCUUUUUGUCUGAUGUCCUGUGAGGGUAAGUUUGGAAAGAGCAUUGUUCUAGGAAGAGCAUCUGAAUAGUGUAUUGAAGUAUAGUGACAUGGAUAUAUGUUUUGAUUCUUAUUUUUAGAUUUACUUCUAAAAGAUUUGGGUAAGAAAUAUUAGACAAUAGUUCGGGACUUAGAUGCUAUUAUUACGGUUUUGAAAUGCUCUAUCCUGAUGCAUGAUAUCCUUUUAUUAUUUAACAUACAUCAGAUCAUCUUAACUCAUUAUGAAGUUUCCCACUGUUACUCCCUGAGGUUGUUGGACCCUUCCUCCCCAUGGACCGGCAAAAGACUGGGCACCGGCAGAUUCCUCUCCCCCUUUUUUUGGGUGGUCCCUUGAAUUGUAGUUGGAGAUUAGAGGUUCCUGGUGAAGUUCAGUUCAGCUCAGCGGAAACAACUAACAAAUAAAUAGCCCCAUGUGUCUUGCUCCAUUGAAUCUGUCCAGCUGUGAUGCAUUUUGAAAGUGUUAAUUUCCUUAUAAAGAUUUCAUGUGUUAGGGUGAAAUCUGCAACAAGCAGAAAAGUUCCACUUGUAAAGUGAACCCGACAGCCCUGUGAACUGAACCAAACCCUGACACGAUACUGAAUUUUGAUGCCACAGAUAGCGAAAGAGUAGCUUCAAAACUGUCAAAGUUAGCCUUAAAAGUUCAUUUUAAAGAAGUAUUUUUAAGCACUUUUUCUGGUGACCUUUAACAAAUCCUAGAUUUACUUAAUUGUAAAGAUGACAUAUUACAUUGAAAAUUCAGGGAAACUAAGAUCAGCACUCAACAGCAGGCACUGUGACAGCCUCAUGUACCUUCUAGCCUUUAAGAAAUAAAGAAUCCUUGUAAAUGUA